CUUGAAAACUAAAGAGACUAUUACUUCCUUUUCACAUGACCACAAGUCCUCUGAUGGAAAUGUACAGCAGAAACUCUUGAGAGAGAGGCUAAAAGCAACUCUGUUCUCCCCCUUCCCCUAGACUUUUCUUACGAAAAGUCAAUAAUUAAGCAAAUUGCUUAACACUUGGUUCCAGUUCCUGCCUAUCUGGAGUUUAAAUGCGUAAUACACCAUUAAUUUCCACGCUGCAGUUUUUAUUUUAAAGAAAGUAACAAGAUGUCUUUACACUGACACUGAAAAUUCAUCCAUUUUAGAGCCAGGAAUUCCCAUGUUACACAGGAAAAAAUAGAAGUCUACUGAAUUAAUUUUUUAAAAGAAAAGAGAUCAGAUUAAAUAUUUCUUUGUUUUUCCUUUUGGAAACUUUUAUGUAUAAUUCUUUCUGCCUGCCUACUUUUCUGCAAAAAUGAGAUGUACAGAUUUCGGUUCCCUGCUAUGAAAAGUGAUGUGGUAGCAAUUUUAUAAAUGUUGCUUUCUGAUUUUUAUCAGAGUGAGAAAAUUAAAAUUAUUGAUUUGCAAGUAGUAA
rnacentral:lncRNA from 1 species